UUAGUAAUUUCCCCGGGGGAAACUAGCAUAUCAAUAAGCGGAGGAUAAAGAAACCAACAGGGAUUGCCCUAGUAACGGCGAGUGAAGCGGCAACAGCUCAAAUUUGAAAUCUGGCUCUUUUAGAGUCCGAGUUGUAAUUUGCAGAGGGCGCUUUGGCUUUGGCAGCGGUCCAAGUUCCUUGGAACAGGACGUCACAGAGGGUGAGAAUCCCGUACGUGGUCGCUGGCUAUUGCCGUGUAAAGCCCCUUCGACGAGUCGAGUUGUUUGGGAAUGCAGCUCUAAAUGGGAGGUACAUUUCUUCUAAAGCUAAAUAUUGGCCAGAGACCGAUAGCGCACAAGUAGAGUGAUCGAAAGAUGAAAAGCACUUUGGAAAGAGAGUCAAACAGCACGUGAAAUUGUUGAAAGGGAAGCGCUUGCAGCCAGACUUGCUUACAGUUGCUCAUCCGGGUUUCUACCCGGUGCACUCUUCUGUAGGCAGGCCAGCAUCAGUUUGGGCGGUAGGAUAAAGGUCUCUGUCACGUACCUCCUUUCGGGGAGGCCUUAUAGGGGAGACGACAUACUACCAGCCUGGACUGAGGUCCGCGCAUCUGCUAGGAUGCUGGCGUAAUGGCUGUAAGCGGCCCGUCUUGAAACACGGACCAAGGAGUCUAACAUCUAUGCGAGUGUUUGGGUGUCAAGCCCGAGCGCGUAAUGAAAGUGAACGGAGGUGGGAACCCGCAAGGGUGCACCAUCGACCGAUCCUGAUGUCUUCGGAAGGAUUUGAGUAAGAGCAUGGCUGUUGGGACCCGAAAGAUGGUGAACUAUGCUUGAAUAGGGUGAAGCCAGAGGAAACUCUGGUGGAGGCUCGCAGCGGUUCUGACGUGCAAAUCGAUCGUCAAAUUUGGGCAUAGGGGCGAAAGACUAAUCGAACUAUCUAGUAGCUGGGUUCUGCAGUUUUUCCCCCCCCCCCAGA
rnacentral:rRNA from 1 species